AUGCUGACAGAUGCAGGGUUAGAUGACACUUCAGAUGAUGAACCCUUGAGAAAGUUGGAGAGACUUCCCAAACCUAAAAAAGCCACUGUACAAGCAAAAGGGCAAGGGACUACUUAUAUCAAAAGAGGAACAGGUAAUGGCAUCCAGAAGACAAACAACAAGAUCGCAGGUUCAACCCAGGAUGAGGACUCCUAUGACAGCUCAGACGAUGAACCCUUGAUAAAGAUGGUUAAAAAGCUCCCUAAACAGACAUCGUUGCCAUUCAAAAAGAGACCCUUCAACACAGCCAGAGAGGUGAACGAUGUGAAGGGCAGAAAUAACGUCCAGAACACUCAUAACCUAUGCACAGACUCAUCAGGUGACAGCUCCGAUAAUGUGCCACUGAUCAAGAUGGUAGACAAGCUGAAGACACAAACCCGAACAAAGACACUCCCUACAACAGCCAGAAAAACACCCAGUAAAGUUCUUAAAAAACACAACAGGAGUAUAGAAUCCUCCGAUGACAGCUCAGAUGAUGAACCAUUGAUUCAUCUAACCAGGUCUCCAUCUAAAGACACUGUGAGGACAAUACUGAAGAGCUGUGUCGCUAAAGAAUCCAACGGCAACAACUGUAGUCAAAGAAAAGGCAAAACCAGCAGAGAGGAAGAGGUGAAUUCUGAUGACGAGCCCUUAAUUAGCCUAGUUAAAAAGCCUCUUAAAGCUGUAAAGAAGACCACGACACCAGCGAAGAAGAGUGUGCCAGGAAAGACAAACAAAGCAGUCAACAGACGGAGCACCAGCAUUGUUCAAAGCACGAGUGAAGGGUCUUUGGAUGAUCGAUUAGAUGAUGAGCUGUUGAUUAAGAAGAUGGUGAGGAAUCCAUCAAUAAAGACCCUGAUGGUUAUUCUGGAGAGGUGUGAAACUAAAGAAGCCUUGGAAGAUUACUAUAGAGCCAACGUGGGAAACGCUGGCGAAAGAAGUGCAGAAGCUAUGGCAGAGAAGAGAAAUCGGUCACAAGACUGCUCUGACGAUGAACCUUUGAUAAAGAUGGUUGGAAACCCAGAGUCAUGA
rnacentral:lncRNA from 8 species